CCUACGGGAGGCAGCAGUGGGGGAUAUUGCACAAUGGGGGGAACCCUGAUGCAGCGACGCCGCGUGGGUGAAGAAGCGCCUAGGCGCGUAAAGUCCUGUCAGCAGGGAAGAUAAUGACGGUAUCUGAAGAAGAAGCACCGGCUAACUCCGUGCCAGCAGCCGCGGUAAUACGGAGGGUGCAAGCGUUACCCGGAUUCACUGGGUGUAAAGGGUGCGCAGGCGGGGAUGUAAGGCAGGAGUGAAAGCCCGGGGCCCAACCACAGGACUGCAUUUGAAACUGCUUGGCUGGAGUGUAGGAGGGGCAGGAGGAAUUCCUGGUGUAGCGGUGAAAUGCGUAGAGAUCAGGAGGAAUACCGGUGGCGAAGGCGGCCUGCUGGACUGUAACUGACGUUGAGGCCCGAAAGCGUGGGGAGCAAACAGGAUUAGAUACCCCAGUAGUC
rnacentral:rRNA from 1 species